CAGAAGUGGAGCUAGAAGAGCCCCAGGGAUUUAUAUCUACUCCUUCCUCAUCACGUUACAUGGGAAGCACAGACUGCUCUUGGAUACUCUGUCUCUGAAGGGCAUGGCAAAUACUGUUGUAAGGUAUCCGUCAAUAACAUCAUCACUGAACUGCCAAGAGGAGUUUCUUGGGAUUUAUGAAGAGAGUCAGAAAGGAAGAAAAGAUCGAGGUAACAACAAAUGAUCCAGCUGAGCACACUCAGUCCUAGAAAUUUCCCGCUUUCACUCGGGCCAGUUUCAGAAAGCCCCAGCUGCACGGCUCUGAUGUGUUGGCAGCCUUAAGCCAAGCUGCGGAGCCCAGGCUGUAAGCUUGGCUGAAGACCUUAAUCCCUGUGUCAGUGUGCUGCAUUGAUCCAGCAGGAGAAGAGCCCCUUAGGGCCUCAGAGAACAGUAAAAGAGACUACAGAGAAAUAAGCUGUGAUGUCUGGGCACCCCCUGAGGGACACUUGUCCGUAGAAGUGACUUGUGACUUUCUGUAUUGUCAGCUUCAUUUUCAAAGGACAAAACCUAUCAAUGCCCCAAAAAUUCCUGAGGAGAUGAGCUUGACAUAGAUGUUAUCCUUCCAGCUUGGGAAGGAAUCAUGCAGCCACUGGGAUACCCCUGAGAGACACAAAUGCCACAAGCUGCCACCGGAGACUUAUAGCCCCAUUAAAAUCCACUGUUCACCUUGAAGUUGUGAACUUUCUGGACUGAAGGAAAUCUGUCUAAUUGUCAUGGCCAACUGAUGGUGCAUAAAGGAUUUGGACUAACCAAAGAGUUACUAGGCAACUUCUGUGGUGACACUCCUGUCUGUGCCAUAAAACCUUGAGGUUCAGCAGUGACAGUGACCUUCCUUCACAGGGCUGCAGCAGCCAUGAAAGGUUUUCUCUCAACUUGUUCUACUCAGAAAACAUCAUCUGAGGUACGGUCCCCUGAGGCAAGCAAACCUGGUUUGUACUUCAGGGUAAAAACUCUUUGCUUUCCCAGUCCCCAUCCUGCUGCCCAUCCACUUUGAGAGCUGUGGGAAGAGAGCUGCCAUUGAAGACAGUCCAUACUCACUUCAUUGCUGCUGGAUACCAAUCACAAUUCCACUUUUGAUGAAGCUGUGCUAAGAACAGAUGCACCAGACAGCACAGAUGACCAGCCAGGGGUACUGCAGGAGAACACAUUCACUGGGAAAACAGGAUGGAUGGGAUCCUCCCACGCUGGGGAGGGCAGAAAAGAGGAUGAUCCCAAUGAAGUUUGGUGUGCUGUGUGUCAGAAUGGAGGGAAGCUCCUUUGCUGUGAGAAGUGUCCCAAAGUAUUUCCAUCUGUGUCAUGUCCCUACAUUGAUGAACUUUCCAAGGUAAUUAUGACCCCUUCAAUUCCAUCUAAAAUUGUAGCAAAAGAC